GUGAUGAUGAUGAAGCAAUUAUUAUUAUUCCAACACUUGGACUGAUUUUAUGCUAGUGAUUACAUUAUUGCAUCUGAAUCACA
rfam:Solanum lycopersicum cultivar Heinz 1706 chromosome 3, whole genome shotgun sequence.